GACGAACGCUGGCGGCGUGCUUAACACAUGCAAGUCGAACGGAAAGGCCCUGCUUUUGUGGGGUGCUCGAGUGGCGAACGGGUGAGUAACACGUGAGUAACCUGCCCUUGACUUUGGGAUAACUUCAGGAAACUGGGGCUAAUACCGGAUAGGAGCUCCUGCUGCAUGGUGGGGGUUGGAAAGUUUCGGCGGUUGGGGAUGGACUCGCGGCUUAUCAGCUUGUUGGUGGGGUAGUGGCUUACCAAGGCUUUGACGGGUAGCCGGCCUGAGAGGGUGACCGGCCACAUUGGGACUGAGAUACGGCCCAGACUCCUACGGGGGGCAGCAGUGGGGAAUAUUGCACAAUGGGCGGAAGCCUGAUGCAGCAACGCCGGGUGCGGGAUGACGGCCUUCGGGUUGUAAACCGCUUUCGCCUGUGACGAAGCGUGAGUGACGGUAAUGGGUAAAGAAGCACCGGCUAACUACGUG
rnacentral:rRNA from 1 species